UGGGUAGCCUUUCCCUUCUCCAGAGGAUCUUCCUGACCCAGGAACUGAACCAAGGUCUCCUUCAUUGCAGGCAGCUUCUUUACCAACCGAGCUAUCAGGGAAGCCCUGGGCCAUGGAGAUUCUAUCAUUUAACCCUAAUAAAACAAUCACUUAUCAAGGGAGGAGCCACCACCGAGAAAAUGAAGUCCAAGGAAGAAAAAGUGAAAAUAAUUACAGAGAGCUCAGUGACUUCAGACCACAGAGGCAGAAGUGGGACAACAUGCUGUUUUCAAUAGGUACUUCACAAGCCUGAAGGAAUACAGAUCGGACCUGGAAGACUCACUUUAAGCAAGAUAAGUACUAACAACUUACCUCCAUCUACCUGUGUUCAUUCAUUCAUGCAACAAAGAUGGAUUGGGCCUCUGGUCCCUGGAGCUACAACACUGAAUGGAACCCCGAGUCCUCUCAGAAUUCACAUUCAGUCUAAUUUGAGGGCCUACUGCACAGCUUUCCUCUGAUGGAGGAUCAAAACUUGACUGGAAAGCCAAAAAGAAAAAAAAUUAUGAAGAUUUCUCACAAGUCCGUUCUAAGUCAAUAAGAACUUUGACUUGAAUUAAGAGCCACAGUUGCACACUCAACAUUAAUGUCUUAUAAUCCAAGUUGGUGAAUUCCUGGUAGGCCCUGAAGAAGAAGGCUUAAAAGAGAGUGGGGCUUCCGCCCAGCGGACAGCAGUUGGAUCAGGUCCUGGAGACAAAGACCGUGCCCUUUCACUGGCUGGGACCUCAGUUCCCUCUGCAAUUAAGGCUCAGGUCUCCUCUAACCUGAGGCCGAGCACACUGAUGUGUGGUUAGAGCCCAGCUCAGCAAACUGCAUG
rnacentral:lncRNA from 1 species